AUGUCCUGGAACGUGCGGGGCCUAAACUCCCUUGCAAAGCGUUCGGCCGUCAGCGAAGUGGCUCACGCUAACAAAAUCACGAUCCUAAAUCUACAGGAAACAAAGAUCGAAUCCUGGUCUUCACAACUAGCAGUAGAAGUAGGGGGGCCUUCACUUCAGGGCUGUGUGGUGCUGCCCGCGACAGGCACUAGAGGCGGUGCCGCAAUUUUUUGGGAUAAGCAGGUGGUUGACAUAGUCUCGCACAUGAUCGCUAUUUUCUCCAUCACGGUUAGGGUCCAGUUCGUCGGCAGC
rnacentral:rRNA from 1 species